UCCCCACUUGCCCUUGGGCAGAUAGUGGGGGGUGAGGAGCUUUUAAGGCCAAGCCCUAGAAAAGACAUCAGGGCUCAAGGGACUUGGCUACUUGAAUCCUGCUCCCGGUUGGUUCAGUCAUUCUACAGCUGUUUCCUGAGCCCCUCCGUUGUGCCAGCCCAGCACAGGGUACUUGGCCACCCCAGGAAUGACACAGUCUCUGUAGGAGAAGCAGACAGGUAAACAGCGACCAUUUCAUGUGUUCAGCCCUGCCCUGAGCCAUAAAUCCCUGCUGGAGAGCCAGAAGAGGCGUCUCCUCCAGCCCAAGUCGGAAGACUUCCUAGAAGGGGUGGUGCCUGAACUGAGUUUCAAAGGCAAGUGGGAAGAGCCCCUGAGGAAGGGGUCAGCAUGGCAGGUGAGAGAAUAGUGUGUGCAAGGGCCUGGAGGUGGAGUAGGAUAAGGUGAGGUAGUUCAGAGGGGCAGAAAAUGCUGAGGAGGAAGGCAGGGGCCAGAGCCAGGUCAUGCUGGUCAACCCAAGCAAGGAAAGAGGGAGCCAUUGAGGGAUGCUAAGCCUCUGAGAGACAAGGUCAGCUUUACAUUCUUUACAGAUCCUAACUGUCUUCCUCCCUUCUCAGCCCGGGUUUCUCUGGGGAUGCCGGGGUUGGGAGUGGAGACACACACCCAGACAGACAGGAAGAGGAACUAGGUGCAGUGUACGUCAAGAAAGGAGGUCCCCACCUUCUUGCAUCACACCUGGAGUCAGACCUAAGUUAGCAAUCUGGCCGUACCCUUCCUAGUAGUAUGACCUGGGGCAGGUGACUGACUGAGCCUUGGAGUCUUCGUCUGUAAAUGGGAAUAAUAAGGUCCGCCAUCACAGAGGAUUGUUACGGGGCUUCAGCGAAAUAAUCUGUCCACUCUUGUAACAUAUUUAACAGCUACCCUGAGGCAGACCCUGUGCCAGGUGCUGGCAUUAGAGCACUGAAUUAGACAGGCAUGGUCCCUACUGUCUCUUGGCACUUACAAUCCAGUGGAGAAGACAGACAAUAAACAAACAAACAAAUGAGAUAAUUACAGAUUGUGUAAAAGUGCUGUGAAGGAGACAAACAGUGGGACAUGAAGGAGGAUAACUGAAAGUGGGGAGAGGAAGGGGCUGCCUUACUCAGUGUGGCCUGGGCAGCUUCUCCGGGAGAACAUGAAGAUUUAGAGCUCAGAACAGAACAUUCCAGGUCCAGGAAACUGCAACAGCCAAGAUGCUGCCAUGGGAGCCAUGAGGAAGUUAGCCUGAUUCCUCUAAGAUGCCAAGCUUUCUGAGGACAGGACCUAGGUCUCUCACUUCUCGCAGCCUUCUGGAAAGAUUUUACUGGGUAAAGUAAAUAGCAAUGUAUUUGUGGCCAGUGGGGGUGGUUAUUUUCCUGCUUGCUAGGCCAACUGCCCCACCCCCAUCCCCUGGAGUGGUGUUUUGGUGGGGGGGUGUUGCUGGCCUCUUAUCAGUUGGCCCAUCUGCACAGCUUAAUCUUCACUCCAGCUGUUCUGUCCAGGAAAGGCCUCUGCCCACUCCUGUACCUUUCCUAGGGUUCCCAGUCCUCUCCCUGGACAGGAGGGGCAGGUUGGGGCCCCUCCAGAAUCUGCCAAUCCAGAGCCUGACCUGCAGGACUGAGAGGGCAGAAGUGCCCCCAUGAGAAUGGCCAAGUGAUUUAGGUCAGCGGGCCCUUUGGAGUGUCCGCCUUGGCCUGGGUCUCGCUUCCAGAAGACCUUGAGGAACGCUUCCUUGCACACGGAUGCAGUUCACACACAGCCUUCGUGCUGCAGAGCUCACUCAGCUCCUCUCACGCACUCACCAUCCAGCUGCACACUGCGUCUCCAUGGCAACCAGUAGGCCUGGUCCGUGGAUGUUAGAAAUAAGUGCCGGAGGAAGAGGAGAGAGAAGGGGAGAGGCAGAGAGAGGAGAAACAUCAGCAAUAAAGAGACUGGCAAAGAGCCUCCUAAGGAGCCCCCAUUCUUUCCUUGCGCCCCCUGCCAGGAAGACUUGAAUGGACUCAGGGCCUAAGGAUGGAGGGGCUCCAGAAUAAAAGCUUUCAGGAGGCAAGAAUCUUGUGUAACUUAUUUACCACCCCUCACAAUGUUUGCUGAAUGGAUGAAUGACUGGAAACUGCUUGGGGAUUCUUCAGUCAGAGCAAGAAAAGAGAGACAGAGCGAGGUGGGCCACAGAUAAAUGAAAUCGAGGCUUGACAGGGCUCGCCCCAAGGCUCACAGCUGAUGAGUAACAAGCCAGAACUUCACCCCAGGCCAGGCCUUUCUGACAACCUGUCCAAUGCUGUUGAGGAGAAAAGGGAAGAAGCCGAGGCUGUAUCUGAGGCCCGGAAAGUUAAGGAACUCCCUGAGGUCGCCCAGAGACAGGUGUACAGACCAGGUCCCCUGACUUUAAGGCAAGUUCCCCCUGGCCAGAGGCCUUCCACGCACGGCAGGGUGGGGGACUUC